rnacentral:misc_RNA from 1 species
AACUGAUACUACCUGCGGGAACCUGCGGAGGGAUCAUUGCUGAAGUGAUUUGGGGAUGUUGCUGGCCCUCUCUCAAGGGGGGGCACUGUGCACUCCUCGAAACAAUUCACAAUUUCCAUCACACCCCUUGUGCACACCUUGUAGGCACCCAAACCCACCUCCGGGUGGUGGGGUCCUAUGUAUUCCUUCAUCUCACACUCUGUUGAAUGGUGCCAUGGGACGCAUCUAAAGGAUUAUUUG